rnacentral:rRNA from 1 species
AUUGAACGCUGGCGGCAUGCCUUGCACAUGCAAGUCGAACGGCAGCACGGGAGCAAUCCUGGUGGCGAGUGGCGAACGGGUGAGUAAAGUAUCGGAACGUGCCCAGUCGUGGGGGAUAACGUAGCGUAAGUUACGCUAAUACCGCAUACGAUCUAUGGAUGAAAGCGGGGGAUCGCAAGACCUCGCGCGAUUGGAGCGGCCGAUAUCAGAUUAGGUAGUUGGUGGGGUAAAGGCUCACCAAGCCGACGAUCUGUAGCUGGUCUGAGAGGACGACCAGCCACACUGGGACUGAGACACGGCCCAGACUCCUACGGGAGGCAGCAGUGGGGAAUUUUGGACAAUGGGCGAAAGCCUGAUCCAGCCAUGCCGCGUGCAGGAAGAAGGCCUUCGGGUUGUAAACUGCUUUUGUACGGAACGAAAAGGUUUGGCCUAAUAAGCUGAGCUCAUGACGGUACCGUAAGAAUAAGCACCGGCUAACUACGUGCCAGCAGCCGCCGUAA